GCGGGUUUAGCUCAGUUGGGAGAGCGUCAGACUGAAGUCCACUUCGGUUGUUUCUCACGUACAAUUUCUGGUUAUUAGACUGGAGUACCGUGAAGCAAUGAUAUCUGAAGGUCAUGUGUUCGAUCCACAUAAACCGCA